GACGAACGCUGGCGGCGUGCCUAACACAUGCAAGUCGAGCGGGGAGGAGGAAGCUUGCUUCCGAAUCCCAGCGGCGGACGGGUGAGUAACGCGUGAGCAACCUGCCUUUCACUGGGGGAUAACGCAUCGAAAGAUGUGCUAAUACCGCGUAAGACCACAGCAUCGCAUGGUGCAGAGGUCAAAGGAGCAAUCCGGUGAAAGAUGGGCUCGCGUCCGAUCAGCUAGUUGGUGAGAUAACAGCCCACCAAGGCGACGAUGGGUAACCGGUCUGAGAGGGCGAACGGUCACACUGGAACUGAGACACGGUCCAG
rnacentral:rRNA from 1 species